rnacentral:rRNA from 1 species
CGAAAGCCUGACGGAGCAAUACCGCGUGAGGGAUGAAAGCCUGUGGGUUGUAAACCUCUUUUCUCAAGGAAGAAGUUCUGACGGUACUUGAGGAAUAAGCAUCGGCUAACUCCGUGCCAGCAGCCGCGGUAAUACGGAGGAGGCAAGCGUUAUCCGGAAUUAUUGGGCGUAAAGAGUCCGUAGGUGGUUCAUCAAGUCUGCUGUUAAAGCGUGCAGCUCAACUGCAUAUAGGCAGUGGAAACUGUUGAACUAGAGUAUGGUAGGGGUAGGGGGAAUUCCCAGUGUAGCGGUGAAAUGCGUAGAGAUUGGGAAGAACACCGGUGGCGAAAGCGCCCUACUGGGCCAUAACUGACACUGAGGGACGAAAGCUAGGGUAGCG